UUAGGACUAAGUACGGAUUUCUGAGUAUAACCAUGGAAGAAGACCCUCGAAAGGGAACUGCUGAGUUAAAGGAAAUGUGCCAUUUAUACUUUGGCUAAAUGUUCCCACACUUUCAUUCCUGAAGUUGUGCCAAUUUAUGUUGGUAGAAACAAUGUAUUAGAGCACUUUCCCCAUCAUCAUAAAUACAGUGACUUGGAAGCUAAGGCCCAGAGAGGAGGAGAAACUUGAUCAAAGUCAAUCAGACAAUGCAGAAUCGAGAAAAGUACCUGGACCUCUAUGCCCAUGCUUCUAGCAGCCAGCCUCCUAAAAUACCUCUAGUUGAAGCCAAAGUUAGAAUCCUUCUACGAAACUACAGGAUUAAAAUGGAAUGGUUACAUGACCCAGGCUUGACCAAUCAGAUCAUCCAAACCCUUUGCCACAGUGAUUGGUCCAGGGAUACAUGCAUGAGCCAGCUCAGGUAAAUGAGACUCAAUUAUAAGAAUUUUGUUAGCGCAAUUGGGAAAAAGAAGUUUUCUUUCCAUGAGAACUAUCAGCUAUAAGAAUGUUGGAUGCUUCCAUCUGCUGGAGUCCAUGAAGA
rnacentral:lncRNA from 10 species